rnacentral:rRNA from 1 species
UACGAAGGGGGCUAGCGUUGCUCGGAUUGACUGGGCGUAAAGGGCGCGUAGGCGGUUCGUACAGUCAGACGUGAAAUUCCUGGGCUCAACCUGGGGGCUGCGUUUGAUACGUGCGGGCUUGAGUUCGGAAGAGGGUCGUGGAAUUCCCAGUGUAGAGGUGAAAUUCGUAGAUAUUGGGAAGAACACCGGUGGCGAAGGCGGCGACCUGGUCCGAUACUUACGCUGAAUAGCGAAAGCCAGGGGAGCAAACGGG